AGAUUUAAAACAUGUCCCUCAGCCAUCGACUUCUUCCUUUCUCCGCUGAUAUCUCCUCUCAUCUUUUUCGGUCGUCGUCGUCGUCGUCUUCUCCCAUCUCUUUUAUCGUCUUUCUACUUUCGGUGUCUUCUUACUCUGUCUCCAUCCUACUACUCUCUUGUAUCCAGACCUGAGUUCCUCCUUUAUCCUCUCGUCAUCUUUGCCCUCUGAGAUGCAUGACCGGAAUUAUCCACAACCACUAAUCCCUCAUCUACAGGGUCCCAUCGGCCGAUCUGCGCGCACAAUGGAAGUAUCGUACUUAAUGUGUCAAAUACGGGGAAAAAUCCAGGUCGAAGAUUUUAUCAUUGUCCAUAUUGGAAGGUAAACAUAUUAGGGUUUUCUCAUUUGGUUAAUUUCUUCAAUUUCAUUCGGAUAUGGUUAACAAUGGCUUGACGUUUUUUUGUAACUUGUAGGAUAAAACGAUGGAUUGUGCUUUCCUUAAGUUGAUGGAUGAAGUUGAUGGUUACGAGGAUUCAGGGUGUAACGAGAAGAUGCAUAUAUGCAAGACUAAAUUGAAAAUGAAGUUAGAAGAGUACGAGUACGAACAAAGGGUUAUUGUUCCAUAAGAGAAGGCUAAGAUGAGGAAAGCAAAGUUGGAUUCUAUUAGGUCUGAAAUGGCAACAGAGACUACUCGACACAGGGCAAUUAUGAAGGAACUGACAGACAUUAACUUCUGUAUUUGUAUGCUAGAUGUAGUACUUGUGUGUACAAGUAUUGUUGUUUGUUCAUAUAUAAUGGCAAGGAAGAGUUAAUUUCACAGUUCAUGCAUAGACUUAUAAUAUGUUUGAGACUGCAAAUACUACUAACUGUCGGUUUCAUUAAGUUCAGUCUUAAACCACCCAAAAGAAAAUACUAUCACCUAGGUUUAGAGUUACCCAAAUGCUACAAAAUAACCCCUUAACCGUAAUCCACAGUACCACUAGAUAAGGCACACCCAGAC
rnacentral:lncRNA from 1 species